AUACGCACUCAAAUAGGCUUACAAAACAAUACUAAUCAUUUGAAGUAUGCACACUGUAAGAAAGUGUUAAUACACUUUGCAAGUGUAGGCCUAUUCCUUUCAAUAGUAAAGCAAUUUUCCAGACGGCAAUGCAGAGAAUAAAAUAGGGUGAUGCGCAAUACCGAUCAAAUUGCAAUGUCAUAUAACAUGGUUUCACCAGAAUCAAAAGCGAAACUAAACUGAUAGGCUUCCCGCUACCGCACCUACAGUGAAUAGAUGUUUUGUUCGUCAUUUGAAGUUGUUCGGGCAGGAUGGCAGAAGCCUACGCAUUUUCCCUGCUUGUUGAGUUGGAGGGGAAUCCCAAUAUUCCCAAACUGAAAAACAAGUUGGUAAAAUAUUUCCAAAGUAAAAAGUCUAAUGGUGGUGAUUGUCUUGUGGAAUACGAAGAUGGACAAGAAGCAGUAGUGCGGUUCAAAACGGAGGAGGUCAGGCAUAGAGUUCUUGAGAAGCAGGAGCACGAGAUCAGGUUGGAUCGAGGGGUGCUGAAACUGAUCAUUCGUCUGCCAUCAGAUGAUGUCCCAAAGAGUGCACAGGAAACACAGUCUCCUAUCACCUCAGCUGCUACUGAUUCAAAAGACUUACCAAAGAGCGGGGUUGGAGAUGGACACACUCCCCUUACUGAGCCACAGACAGAGAUGGAGAUUGAACCGAUGGAAGUCGAGGAAAAGCUGGUGUCCACCUCAGCCGUGUUGGGGAACAUUGAGGAGAGCAUGAACAAGGAGUUCCUGGAGAUGCUGAUAGAGAACAUCCUGAGUGCGUAUAACACCUCUGGUUCUGACUCUCCUACUGCAACACAGACCUUCAGUUUGGAGAUCCUGACACCUGUCCUAGACACCGGCCUGGCUGUGGUGACUUUCCAAAAUGGAAAAGAGACUGAGAACUUCAUCACCAGCUGCACCAGCAACAGGAUGUUCAGACAGAAACAACUAUCUGUUAAACUCCUGGAACUCACCACAAAAGUGAAAGUUGAAAACAUAAAUCCAAAUGUUAGUUCAGACCACCUCCAACUGUUAUUUGGAAAAGGGGGCGAGGAGGUGGAAGACACUGAAAUGAAUGAAGAGGACCAAUCAGCAAUCCUCACCUUUCAAGAUCCUAAAGCUGUUCACAGAGUCCUAGAGAAACCACAUUACAUCGAGAAGCAGCCUCUCAAGGCUUUCCCCUUCUAUGAUUCUCUGGGAACGGCCUUGUAUGGCAAAGACAGACCCACAUUGAAACUCCCUUCUGCUUUCACUGAAAACAUAAACCACGCAAUUUGGAGAUACCUCUGUGACAACCAGGAAGCUGCAGAGACCAUCCACAAGGAAAUGACCAAACACUUCUGCAAUGUAGACUUCCAACAACCUACCAUCAAGUUAAGCCCACUGCCAUCUCUACUCAAACAGACGGGUGUGAAACCCAAGCACUUACAACAAUGGAAGGACACCACCAAAGUUGCCUUAAUCCAAGCCUUGUCUAACUUUAAGUCAUUGGAGCUCCAGGUUCAGGACACUGCAUGGGAAGAGUCUGAAGGGGAGAUCCUCAAGGCGGUGUCUGGGGAGGCCGUGAUGGUAGUCCAUGAAGAGACCAGAGGUGUUCUGGCAGUGGUAGGAUUGGUAGAAGAUGUGGACCGGCUCAGGCAGACACUGGAUGGGAUCAUGGACAGGAUUUCUAGAAGAAUCGAGAGGGAGAAGACGAGCAUAACAGAGGAGUUCCCUCUGGUUCCAUCAAUCUACCAGGUACUGUUGCAUGGUGGCCUGCUGGACAAGAUUGUUGGUGAAUUCCCAGACUUGAAGCUGACGUAUAAUCAAGAGAGCCAGAGUGUGACCAUCUAUGGGUUGAUGCAAGAGGUGUUGUGUGCUAACAGAAAGCUUGCAGGUGAAGUAGUAGCCCUGAAACGAAAGCUGGUGGAAUUGGAUGAAUACGUCCUUGAGUUCCUGCAGGAAGAAAGCCAGGAAAAGCUAACCAGUUCCCUUCUCACCUUACAGAGCAUCAAUGCAGCACUAGAAAUAGAGAGAAAAGGAGUGCAGCUUCUGGCUGUCUCUGAGGAGGCCCUGUGCGAAGCAGAACAUCAACUGCAUACGCUUUUGAUUUCUCAAUACAUAGAUGUAGAAGACUCCGAUCUCCUGAGGAUGUCCGAGUGGAAGGAUAUUGCCAACCGUUUUGAGGAAGCGUCAAACACUCCUUUCAGGAAAGUUAUGGUCCAGACAUCAGGUGCCUAUUCAGGACAACAAGUGGUAGUGUCUGGCUACAAGGAAACUGUUCUCUUAGUCCGAAAUGAAUUGGAUGAUUUCUUACACAAAAAUGCUCAUGUUGAUGAAACUAUCGAAGUUAAGCCUGAGGCUAUUGGUAAAUUCAUCCAGGAACAACACAGGGAUGCUUGGUCUGAUAAAGUCAAAGAUAGUGGAGUUAAAGUUUCUUUCAAGGAUGAGGCUAUUUACCUGAGUGGCACCAGAGUUCACGUAGCAGAUUGCAAGGCAUUAUUCGAAAACUUGGUAUCCUCCACAUUCUUUGACGCCUUGAGAAUCUCCAAGCCUGGAGCAAAGAAGUUCUUCCAGGACAAUGAGCCCAUGUAUGCUGACACAGUCAUGAAUCAGACAGGCUGUGUGGUCCAGCUGAUUGAAGAAGAGUAUGAUGCCAAUGGCGGACAAGGCAUAAAGCUAGCAGGAGGAGGAAUGAAACCUACCUACCAGCUUCAAACACCUGAUGGGGUGGAGAUAGCCGUUUGCAAAGCAGACAUGUGCAAAUAUUCUGUUCACGCUGUUGUCAAUGCUGCCGCCCUGGACCUGAAGCACAGUGGAGGUCUUGCAGGAGCUCUUCUGGAUACUGCUGGCCCUCAACUGCAGGAUGAGUGCAACCAGAUCAUCAAGAACAAGGGUCAGCUCAAGCCAGGGGACAGUGUCAUCACUGGUGCAGGAGGGAAGCUCCGCUGCAAGCACAUCAUUCAUGCAGUGGGACCCAGGUUUGACCAGGCAAACCCCCAGAAGGCCAUGGGACAGUUGAGGAGGGCGGUGAAAGGGAGUCUGGAUCUAGCAGAGACCCACAACUGCCUGUAUGUGGCUCUUCCUGCUAUUAGCUCUGGGAAUCUAGGCUUUCCUCUGACCCUGUGUGCAGACACCAUCGUCAAAGCAGUUAAAGAACACUGUGACGACAAAUUUGGGGACAAUACUCUGAAGAAGAUCCAUCUGGUGAACAAUGAUGACAAGACAGUCCAGGCUAUGGAGGCAGCGGUGCUGAAGGUGUUUGGGAGCCAUGGAACUAGUCAUCCACGAGAGAAUCGACCCACCAUAGCUACACACAGCCAGCCUGGUAAUCGGGUUCAACGCACAAGUGGUUCAAGUGGGAAGACAAAAGAGGGGCUGGCUAUUACCCUGACGAAAGGGAAUAUCCAAGAUGCUGUGACAGAAGUUGUGGUCAACACCGUGGGUGAUGACCUAGCACUUAACCAUGGUGCAGUCUCCAAGGCCAUCCUCGCCGCUGCUGGCCCCCAACUUCAGACUCUGGUAAACCAACAGGGCACAGCCGGAAGGGCUGGGGAAGUCAUUGUCACCACUGGCUGCAACCUGAAGUGCAAGCGGGUGUUUCAUACCAUCGCCCCUCACUGGGACAAUGGACAAGGAGCACCACAGAAGAUAUUGAGCAGGAUCGUGAAAGAGUGCUUGGAUGAGGCAGAGGAUCAGGGACUCAUCUCGAUCACCUUCCCUGCCAUCGGCACGGGAAACCUGGGCUUCCCCAAAGACCUGGUGGCCUCUCUGAUGCUGGAUGAAGUCCUCAAGUUUAGCAGUAAGAAGAACCCCAAACACCUGAAGGAGGUGGUCUUCAUCCUCCACCCAGGUGAUGCACCGACGAUCCAGGCUUUCACUGAUGAAUUUAACAAAAGGUUCAAAACCCAGUCGGGAACGUCAAGGGGCUCAGCAGCAUCCAGUCAACAGAGUAAAGGCCCUUUCUCUAAAAUCACUUCAAGCUCAGGGAUGCACGAGAUGAAGAUGGGAGGGGUGCUUAUACAGGUCAUCACAGGAGACAUCACCAAGGAGACCACUGAUGUCAUCGUCAACUCCUCCAAUGACACCUUCAGUCUCCAGUCAGGGGUAUCUAAGGCCAUUCUGGAUGUGGCUGGUCAGACUGUGGUAGCGGAAUGCCAACAACUCGGAGCCCAGCCUAACAAUGGAGUGAUACUUACCCAGCCGGGCAACAUGCGGUGUAAGAAGAUCAUCCACGUGGUUGGUCAGACGGACCCAAAGAAGAUCCAGGAGUCGGUCAAAGGAGCACUGCAAAUGUGUGCACAGAAUAACCUCACAUCCAUCUCCUUCCCUGCUCUUGGCACAGGUCAGGGCAAUGUACAGGCGGGCCAGGUGGCUGACGCCAUGUUGGAUGCUGUUGUGGAGGUGGUGGGUCAGAAGUCCCAAAACACACUGCAGCUGGUCAGGAUGGUCAUCUUCCAGCCUGCCAUGCUCACAGAGUUCCACAAAUCUAUGGUGAAGAAAGAGGGCACAGACGUUGACACUCAAAAGAAGGGGAGCAUCUGGGGAAAAAUUAAAUCGUUGUUAACCUGGGGUAAAGCUGACAUGCCACAAAAGGAUGAGGAUUUUGUCAUCGAGGGCCAGCAAGUAGAUCCAGCUUUCUUCCAUAUCUGCGGUGGAUCUCAGGCCAGAGUGGACCAAGCCAAGCGUUGGAUCAAGGACCUGAUCCUGAAGGAGCAAGUCAGCAACAGCAUCACCGAUGACGCCAUCCUCAACUUGUCUGACUCUGACCGUAAGUGCAUCCACGAAAUCCAGACCACCAUGGGAGUGAGUGUGAGGAUAGAAUACAAUUCGUCCAGGGAGGAAGCUAUGCUCACGAUCGAGGGCCUUAGCAAGGAUGUCCUCAAUGCAGUCAACGAGAUCCAGAAGAUGCUGAGGAAGGCCAGGGACAAAGAGACCUUCAACAGGAACGUGGAAGUGGCCAGCAACAUGGUGGAGUGGCAGUAUCAGCAGCAGCCAGGGGGGCAGUACCAGAGCUUUGACCCCAUCCCCAACUUCCAUCUGGAGCAGGCACUGGAGAGGAAGUUGCCCCACGUAGAGGUCUCUUUCCAGGGGAAGAUGUACACGGUCACCCUGCCUGACGGGCCUGCUACAGAUACCAAUGGCAACAGCCUCAAAAUUAGACGCAUCGACAAGUUGGCAGCUCAACCCAUUGACAGUCUCCCUCAGCAUUGGGAUGCCAUGCCAGCAAACACAUCAUGCCAUUCCUGCCUCAUUCAGCCAGGAAGCCCAGAGCACAAUGAAGUCUUAAACUUGUUCCGAGCCACCUGCCCCAACAUCGUUUUAAAGAUUGAGAGGAUCCAGAACCCAAGCCUGUGGAGGAACCUCCAGAUCAAGAAGAAUGAAAUGGAGCUCAGGAAUGGUCAUAAGAACAACGAGAAGAGGCUCUUCCAUGGAAUGUGCCACACAACCAUUAAUCACAUCAACCACCAUGGCUCCAAUCGGAGCUAUGCUGGAAAAAAUGAUGACCCAGCUGUGUCCGGAACUGUAAGGCGUCCCCCCAUGAUGAGGGGCUAUGAGAGAUGAUGAAGCAGCAGGUUCCGAAAGGGAGACCGACACACUGUUUUCCACCGUAGGAGUUGGGGACCAUGGACCAAUGGGGUUUCCAAUCCCGACAGAUCCUGUACGGACUCGGGAGAGGCGAAGGUCGAGAGCCAUGCAUCCUCCGAAAAACCCAACCAAGCCGCACUACUUCUUGACACAAUGCCCACUUAACCCGGGAAGACAGCCGCACCAAUGUGUCAGAGGAAACACAGUACACCUGGCGACCGGCCCACCACAGGAGUCACUAGUGCGCGAUGGGACAAGGACAUCCCUGCCGGCCAAACCCUCAUGACGCUGGGCCAAGUGUGCGCCGCCCCAUGGGUCUCCCGGUCAGAGCCGGCUGGACUCAAAUCCAGAAUCUCCAGUGUCACUGCGUCACUCGGGAGGCCCCGUACAACAAGUUAAUUUGACGGUAACACAUCUCUGGUGGGAUUUUUUUAUAUUUGCAUGAAAUCUGUUGCCAAUUGGAUGGAAACCUAGCAAAUAAUUAAUUUGUAGAUAUUGAAUUUUGACAUCAAUGCCUUUAGUUAUAUUAAAUCCAUGACACUCCUGGGAUGCAUCACAAAUGGGACCCUUUUAUAGUGCACUAAUGUUGACGAGGGCUCUGGUCAGAAGUAGUGCAUUAUUUUAUGUAUUUAUGUUUUUGAAAUUUUGCAGACUGAAAUCUCUUGAGAUUGAAGAAGGUUAAACCAAGGCCUUACCUCUUUAAAGGGAUAAUAAAUUAUGUUAUGAUAAACUGCAAGGUCUCCUCUUCAGGAGGAGGUCUCCUCUUCAACCUGUAUUUGAGGUUUGUGACCUUCAGACACUAUCAGAAGGCGUCUAUGUUCAGACUCCUGUCUGGAUCCCACCGUGAUUAUCUGGUUUUCCGAGAACACAAGGCUACCACAGACCUGAUGAAACCAGCCACCUGCCAGAAGAUGCUUACGCUUGUUCACAUUGUUAUAACUCUAUACUUGUGAUGAAAAGUCAAGUUUCGGUCAAACCCACUUCUGAAUUUUGAAUUGCUGAUAAGAUGGUUCCUGCUGUCAGGGGGAGGUUAGAUUAAUUAAAAUGUUGUUGCUAGGGAAAGUUACAUAAGGGGGAUUGGGGAGGCUAUAUGAGUUACAGAAUGUCUUAGACAUUUUGCAGAACUUGGGGAUAACUAUCAUACACUAUUAUACUGUAGUCUGUAUCAACUUCUGCCUACAAUUGUAUUACUAAAAGGAGUAUUUUAAUACUUAAA